AUACGGAAGGUCCGGGCGUUAUCCGGAUUUAUUGGGUUUAAAGGGAGCGCAGGCGGAGAUGCAAGCGUGACGUCAAAUUUCGGGGCUCAACCCCGUCUCGCGUCGCGAACUGCGUCCCUUGGUUGCGGGAAGGGGAGGCGGAACUCGUGGUGUAGCGGUGAAAUGCAUAGAUAUCACGAAGAACUCCGAUCGCGAAGGCAGCCCUCCGGCCCGUCAACGACGCUCAUGCUCGAAGGUGCGGGUAUCAAACAGGAUUAGAUACCCUUGUAGUCCGCACAGUAAACGAUGGACACCCGCGGUUUGGCCUAUAUGGCUGAGCCGCCAAGCGAAAGCGUUAAGUGUCCCACCUGGGGAGUACGCCGGCAACGGUGAAACUCAAAUGAAUUGACGGGG
rnacentral:rRNA from 1 species